rnacentral:tRNA from 1 species
GCCCUGGUGGCACAGCGGUUAAAGCAUUUGGCUGCUAACCAAAAGGUCAGCAGUUCGAGCCCACCAGGGGA